rnacentral:rRNA from 1 species
AACGUAGGACGCAAGCGUUAUCCGGAGUUACUGGGCGUAAAGCGCGGGCAGGCGGUUCUGCCAGUCUGAUGUGAAAUCUCCUCGCUCAACGGGGGAGCAGCCAUUGGAAACUACAGAACUGGAGUCUGACAGAGGUAGGCGGAAUUCCCGGUGUAGUGGUGAAAUGCGUAGAGAUCGGGAGGAACACCAGCGGCGAAGGCGGCCCCCUGGGCCGCUCCUGACGGCUGAGACG